GCCGAAGUAGCUCAAUGGUAGAGCAACCGCUUUGUAAGCGGUAGGUUGGGGGUUCGAAUCCUCUCUUCGGCUCCA
rnacentral:tRNA from 1 species